rnacentral:rRNA from 1 species
CACGUAGGGCGCAAGCGUUGUCCGGAAUUAUUGGGCGUAAAGAGCUCGUAGGUGGUCUGUUGCGUCCGCUGUGAAAACUCGGGGCUUAACCCCCGAGCCUGCAGUGGAUACGGGCAGACUAGAGGUAGGGUAGGGGAGAAUGGAAUUCCUGGUGUAGCGGUGAAAUGCGCAGAUAUCAGGAGGAACACCGGUGGCGAAAGGGCGGGUU